AAGGAGUUGGGUUUAAGGGGUAGGUAGGGUAAGAGGAAGCAGAGCAACGAAAACCCUGGGAACGCCGCCGAAUGAAACACAGAGAUGAUGGAAGCCACAUAGCGACAAGAUGUCAGGGUGUCUGCUUUCUGAUACUUUUGUCAACUUGCCACUUGUGAGCUGUCCUUUGAAGACUGUAAAGCUGCAGAUAUCUCCCUCGUCAUUUUCCUAUAUGAGUCUUAUAUACCAGUGUUUCCUAUCCUACAGGCUUGUGUGCCUUUAUAUCCAUAUAUAUUUUUU
rnacentral:lncRNA from 1 species